GAGGGUAUAGCUUAGUGGCUGAGUGUAUGCUUAGCAUGCACAAGGUCCUGGGUUCAAUCCCCAGUACCUCCA
rnacentral:tRNA from 1 species